rnacentral:misc_RNA from 1 species
GAUGAAGAACGUAGCGAAAUGCGAUACGUAAUGUGAAUUGCAGAAUUCAGGGAAUCAUCGAAUCUUUGAACGCAUAUUGCGCUCUUUGGUAUUCCGAAGAGCAUGCUUGUUUGAGUAUCAGUAAACACCUCAACCUCUUCUUGAUUUUUCAAAAGGAGGGUGGACUUGAGCUAUCCCAACAACCUUUACCGGUCGGCGGGCGGCUUGAAAUGCAGGUGCAGCUGGACUUUUAUCUGAGCUAAAAGCAUAUCUAUUUAGUCCUCGUCAAACAGGAUUAUUACUUUUGCUGCAGCUAACAUAAAGGAUAAUUGUCCUCUUUGCUGACUGAUGCAGGAUUUUACGACACUUUAUGUGUUGUUCAACUCGAUCUCAAAUCAAGUAAGACUACCCGCUGAACUUAAGCAUAUCAAUAAGCGGAGGA